GGUGGUAUAGCCAAGAGGUAAGGCAGAAGUCUGCAAAACCUUGGUCCCCGGUUCGAAUCCGGGUACCACCU
rnacentral:tRNA from 1 species